rnacentral:sRNA from 1 species
CUCUCCUGGUUAUAAUUGUUGUUAGAAUCAGUUUGUUAAGGUGAGUGCGUGACCAUGAGCUUAUUUGAGCGAUUGGUUUGUAUGACUUGUUUUGUGUGAUGAUAUGUAGGUGUGGUGAAUGUGUUUUUGGGUGAACUGUUCAAUGACUGGUCUGUAAUAUUUUAUUU